rnacentral:rRNA from 1 species
GACGAACGCUGGCGGCGUGCUUAACACAUGCAAGUCGAGCGGUAAGGCCCUUUCGGGGGUACGACGAGCGGCGAACGGGUGAGUAACACGUGGGUGACCUGCCCUCAGCUCUGGGAUAAGCCUGGGAAACCGGGUCUAAUACCGGAUAUGACUCCAUGACGCAUGUUGUGGGGUGGAAAGCCUUGUGCGGCUGAGGAUGGGCCCGCGGCCUAUCAGCUUGUUGGUGGGGGGAUGG